rnacentral:tRNA from 1 species
AGUUAAAUAGUUUAUCUCCUAAAACAUUAGAUUGCAAAUCUAAAAAAAAAAUUAACUA